AGCAGCCGCGGUAAUUCCAGCUCCAAUAGCGUAUAUUAAAGUUGUUGCAGUUAAAAAGCUCGUAGUUGAAUUUCGGGGUUAGUAGGUUGGUCGUGCCACUGGUACGUACUGGCCUCACUGAUUCCUCCUUCCUGAUGAACUGUAAUGCCAUUAAUUUGGUGUUGCAGGGAAACUGGACUGUUACUUUGAAAAAAUUUAGAGUGUUUAAAGCAAGCUAACGCUUGAAUACAUUAGCAUGGAAUAAUGAAAUAGGACGUUCGAUCCUAUUUUGUUGGUUUCUAGGAUUGACGUAAUGAUUAAUAGGGAUAGUUGGGGGCAUUAGUAUUCAAUUGUCAGAGGUGAAAUUCUUGGAUUUAUUGAAGACUAACUACUGCGAAAGCAUUUGCCAAGGAUGUUUUCAUUAAUCAAGAACGAAAGUUAGGGGAUCGAAGACGAUCAGAUACCGUCGUAGUCUUAACCAUAAACUAUGCCGACUAGGGAUCGGAUGAUGUUAAUUUUUUAAUGACUCAUUCGGCGCCUU
rnacentral:rRNA from 1 species